AUGUUUGUUAGUCGUGAUGAUCAAAGAUAAGUUUUCGUAAUUAUUAGUAAAUUUCAGGUCAUAAUUCUCAAAUAGCAAAGUCCCAACCACUUUUAUAAUGAGAUAUAAUCAUUUUGUAGGUUAUUUGUUGCCACUGUGUUGGCAGGUAGGCCAGUAUUUUACCCAUAUGAUGGAGAUCAGAGUUGGCCAUAUCAUAGUCGAGAUCGGCGGGUGUUUUGUCUGAAUGCUUUAAGUGAAUUGGCUGCUUUUUUUCUUUCAGCUCAAACUUUUGGAGUAGUGGUUAAAGCCAGUGAUCCACAAAUAACAUUAGAGCAAGUCAUGGAUAAAAUUUGAUUCACGCAUGCUACAAUGUGUGCAGCUGCCAGAGGAGACUAUUCGCAAGUAGGUCAGCAUUCUAUCCAUAUGGCAAAGCAAUCAAAAUUCACAAAUGUUAAGUGUCUAUGCACUUUAAGUUAAUUAGUUACCUCUUUUUUUCUUUUAGCUCGAGUUUUUAAAAUAGUAAUUAUUGCCGAUCCACAUAUUGCUGGUAAAAGAAGUCCAUCAUUUACUCAAGAUGUCAUAAUUAACUUUAGUAUUAGUAUGUUUCAACCUGUUCAUUAUUAUGGUGAUUUUUCGCUGUGUAAUUGUACUAUGACAUGAGGUUAAUGACAAAGAUUAGUUGGGAAGUUCUACCAUAUUUUUACCCUUGUUUUAGCCUCUUUAGCGAAAAGUUGUUGUCUUUUAUUAUCUUCACCAAAUAGAAAGUGGUUGAAGCAAUCUUUUCUUCAGAUAUUAGUCAUGUUACAACUACCACUAGCUUUUAAGAUUCCCUAAGCUUGGCAUUAUGAACCUACCCUAAAUUCUGUAGGAAAACAAUUUACCAUAUUUUAUAAUUAACUUUGGCAGUUUGG
rnacentral:lncRNA from 1 species